ACAGAUAGGACAGGUGGAAUAAUGAUGACAAAGAUCAUGAAUACGAAUGUUUCACGAAGUUCUGUGUCACAAAACUUCUGCGCAUCUUGACCUUCACAAAACUAUGUUGCGGAUUUCAUCGAAUGGAAGCCCUCAGAAAAAGUGAGAGAGCAUAACCGGUAAAUGCAUUGAGGAUAUUGUGUGAAAAUGCUUUACCUGACAUUCUUGCCAAUUGACAGCAACAGCAAACGAACGUUGAAAUUAAUGUGCAAAGUCGCCAGCCAAGAUUGCAGUUUCAUAACAUCGUUAUUAACUCUACGCCACCUCCAGCUCGUGGACACCUCCUUCCAACCUCGCAGGCAACCAUCACUCACCUGGCCGUGCUCACUGUGCUCCCGCUGCUAAUACUGGCCGGAUUUGAGGCGACAACCAUCUUUGCAAGCUUGUCCGGCAUUCUAGCAACAUGUAUCACCCAAUGUAUCAUCGUAGCGUUUGUCAUUUUUGCAGGCUGGGUUCACCGUAGAGUAUAGGCGAGCUCGUAAUUUAUGUUUCGAUGUCACAGUAAAAUGUAUCAAAAUAUUUGUUUUACACUUAUAACUUGAUUAUAGGAUUAUAGCCUCCUUAAGCUUGCCAAAUAUUUUUAUAUAAAGUAUUUCUAAUAUAGAAAAACUACAAUCCAAUGAACAGUAGAUUUCUCAAUAAAAGUAAAAGAAACGAAAACAAAAGGAAACAAAAGAUUACUAUAUAAAUCAAGAUGGUAAUAAUCUAUCAAAAAACGGGAUUUAACGUGGUGGAAGUGUAAAAACUUGAUUCUUGCAAAACUGAAAGCUAUAAGCUCAACCCAUUUGAAAAUAUUGUUGUGUACCAGUAGCUGCCAUAAAGUGGCCGUUCUUCGUGCCGUUACUGAUAGACAUAUAGGGUGGCUGCUCCAGUGGUAGUGUGUUGCCCAAUAAUAGUGGUAGUGUGGUUUCAAGCAUGACAGCUACUGGUACACAACAAUAUUUUCAAAUGGGUUGAGCUUAUAGCUUUCAGUUUUGCAGUUGUUAAAAUAAUAUGAAUGUGUUUAAAAAAUCUUGGAAAUAAGUAAGGAAAUAGUAGAAAACCAAUGGGAAAUCAAUGUAAACCACUAUUAUAGGAACACAAGUUAGUAAAUACCACUAUUACUGGAGCAUGUUCCAGUAUUGGAGAAAAUGCUUUUAUGAAAAAUUCAAUAAUUUUAUCGUUCUUAGAUAUUUUUUUACGUAAAAUAGAAUAAAAAAGCUUUCGAAUGGUGUAUACAGAUAUGAAAAUCGAGCUUUUGUUAUUUCCUGGCAUUUUUUUUAUUCCUCAUACCGUUACUAUUGCCUCUAUAACUGGUACAGUCGCCCUAGCACAAUUUGGUCCAUAAUUUCAUACUUGCAAAUAGAUAAAUGAGUGAUGUGUGCUGUAAUGAUCAAUAUGCAAACAGUUCCACAACGAUAACAAACUUUUCUGAAUCAAUUUUUGAGUAUUAUCAUCGUUUGACAUUUAAUUUACAUCCAUGCGACAUUUCCAGCCCAAUGAAUAUUAAAGGAAUACUUACCAAGAAAGUAUUACUUUUUGUUUUACAGUUUAGUAAAAUCAUAGUAAUCGUUCCAUCAGCUAGCUUCUUAAUCCUGGAGUUCGAAUGAUAUUCCAGCUGGGACAAAACCUGGUACUCUCUGUAGUUGUCAAGAAUCAUAAAAAAUUCCUGUAUGACAUGAAAUUUUGCGGAUUUAUGAGUGAAAAAUGUCAAUGAUAUUUACGGAUGAAUAGAUAAAACAAUGAAAAUGCUUUCUUACUGUUA